UUAAAAACCUCUAAGGAUGGAGAUUCCACCACGUCCCUAGGUAACUCAUUCCAGUGCUUCACCACCCUCCUAGUGAAAAAGUUUUUCCUAAUAUCCAAUCUAAACCUCCCCCCACUGCAACUCCUUAGUUAUCUGUCAGCUUUGGUUGUGUUUCAGCUAGACUUUCCAUGUGUGAGGAUAAGAGGCUGUAAUCUGGCAGUCAUAUAAAUAAGAAAAAUCUAGCUGGAAGAAUUAAAGGUCAUCGGUGAGUGAUGGGGUGGUAGUGGCAGUUCUCCCUCCCAUACCAGAUCUCAAUUACUGAGCUGAGGAGAGUGGUGGGGACACAGAGAAGAGAUGGAGAGAGGAAUUGCUAUGGAGGAGAAACCUCAAAAUUGUGCUAUUUGCAGCAGGAAGACAAAUGUGAAGAAACCUGGAGGCUUCUCUGGUGGGCAGAUAUUUGGGGAGAUGGCCUGUGCCCCACUGGAGGGAUAGGGACAUAUCAAAGGGUGACUGCCCCUUUAAGAGGGAAUGGGGUCCAUUUCAUUUGGACUGAUUACCUGCUGCCCAGUUGGGCUUAAGGGAAGGCACCUAGGCUGUUCUUUGUGUACUGUCCCUGUCCAUGCUCCACUUCAGGUGUCGGUGCAUCCCGGCACUACUGAUCGGAGAUUUUCAGUAGCAGUGGCUAACGAUUCACAGUGGAACAAGAUCACUUCCAAUACAGAGUACUGCCAUUCGGACUGUCAACGGUUCCAUGAAUCUUUGCCAAAACCCUAACGGUGGUAGGUUGAGAAGGAACUGAGGGGUGUGGGACGCACAGGCACUAGUUGAAUCGCCAAUGGCACCACGAGACAGCUACUGCACGUGCGCGUCCUGACCAGGCACUGCUACCGAAAAUCCCCAAUCAGCAGCGCUGGGACCCACCAACACCUGAAGUGGAGCACCCACAGGGACACACAUCUCAAAGAAUCUCAGUUACUGCACAAGGUGAGUAACCUUCUCUUUUACAAAGGGGGAGACAGCUGCAGGUGGUAGUAGUAGGCAGAUGCCUGAGAAACACUGUAGGGAGUUAGACUCCUGGAGGGCUCUGCGUCAGCAGGGGGGAGAAAUACCAGUGGGGAAGGCCUGUGGAGAAGGCCAAAUCCAGGCAAGAGGUGCUGGGAGAGCAGAAAGACAGACCCUCAGGGAGGAAGGGCUGUGCCCAGCUUGGGACUGAGGCAAGAUAAAUCACUUUUAAGGAGAGGCAGACCCUCAAGAAGGAGGCUGAAACUGGGAUGAAAACUGUAGGGUUGAGUUCUAUUUUCAAAGACUUUGUGCAGGACUUAAUAAAUUGCACCCCAGAAAGGGAAUGUUUUGAAUAUCUGGAUUCUGUGGAUUUUUAAAUGGAUCCUGCAUGAAGGGGAAACAGAGGCAGGGGUCAGCAGAGCCAUUCUUGGCAAGCAGGUGGUGAGACAGGGCAGGCACACCUUUUAACAGGAUAUAUCCUAGAGCAGCUAAAAAGGGCACAAGCCCAAUUUUUCCUCCUUGCAUAUCACCUUUAUGUGCAUUACAAAAGCACUGGUGUUUCUAAAAUACUAAAUUGUAAAAUUCACCUUCAAAUCUAGAAGCUAAGGUUAAAGAGAUUCUGUCAAGUAAAUCAUAGCUAAAAUAUAAGGUUUUUGUGUGUUGUUAUAAAUGUUUCUUGAACACAAAAAAGUGGUCUUAAUUUGAAUUUCAACAUUCCCCUGUAUGGUCUGCAACUCAAACUCUACUCCACUGGACCACAAACUACAAAGUGAACCUGACUACAGAUGGGCUAUAGGACAAAGGGAAGCUUUCCUGACAACUGUUUCCAUGAUUCAAUUAAAUCUGAAUUCAAUGGAAAACAUAAUAAAACAAGAAAAAUUUGUGAAAAUUAAGUUAGAUUUUUAAAUUUGUGUCCAUUUUAAUAAUCUAAUUUAUUAACAGUGCAAGUAAGGAACUUUUCUCCUUAAAAAUGUGAUUUUUAAUCUGACAAUCUUUUAAAUCAAAUUAAUAAAUCAGCUCCCUUCUUUCAGUUACAGGUUCUCUUUUCACCACUUGAUUGGUUCCAAGUUGUUCGGCUAGUGCAUUGUCAGUGUUGGUCUGCUGAUGCCUGCCAGCUACCUUAGGCCUGAUCCAUUAGAGCUUGUUAUAAUGUGGUAAACUAUUUUCAUAGAUUUGUAAUGCCCAGCAGAAAGAACAUAACUUGGAUCUAUACUUAAUCCAGUUACAACACUUGUUAUUAUUAGACCCCUGAAUACUGUGGAAAAGUAUUUGUGAACAUUAAUUAUCCUCUAAGGAAAUAUACUUUUAUUUUAAUUACAAUUCCAUUUACGGUAUUUACUUGUUACCAACAUUUAAAUGAACAAUUGGUGUUUGAUGUUUGUGUAUGGGGGGUGUGGGUUUUUUGCAAAACAAUUCACAGAAAGAGGUGUCAUAAAAAACCCUACAAAUAUGUGUUUUCCACAAGUAUCUUCAAAGGAGUGUUUUUGUAGCCAUUUUGAAAGGGCUUGGAAUGGGAGUCACCCAUUCAGGGAGCAGAAACAGUGCCAUCUGUUUAGGUGGCCAGUCACACAGCCAGGAGCACUGCCAGCUUUUCUGCCGCCCUAGGCGGCGGAAGGUCCCGCCGCUGAAAUACCGCCGCGGUCGCCGCCCCCCAAAUUGUAGUGCCCUAGGCGACCACCUAGGUCGUCUAAUGGGUUGCGCCGGCCCUGCAUACAGCACAAACAGGAAAUUAUGAAUAGUGAAUACUUAAAGUAGCAAAUGGUUUGCGAGCAAUCCAUGAGUGGGAAGUAUGCUCAAAAUGCCAUUCCGCAAAUCUUUUUCAAAUAACUAGCAAGGCAAACUCUGUUUGCAGAUAAUUAGCAAACACAAAGAUGGGCUAAAUUUGUUGAACUAACAUUUUACUGUGAAUGGUUUGCUUAGCUCUAGUUUGAGAAUCAUUUUUAGAACAUGUCAAUUAAUCCUGAUUUCAAGGAAGAGAAGUAGACUUGAGUAUUUCAUCUCACCACUUGGCAUAGUGUCCUGUCCGUACUGCAGCACCACUCCAGCAGAACCAUGCUUAAUAGUUUUUGAUUACAGUGGUAGCCAGCAUGGUUUGGUGCUCCAUUGUGAACAGGUCUUUAAUUGACAUUCUUUUCUACAUCACUUGAGCUGUAGCCUAUUGCUAAAGAGAAAAUAUUAAUAAUGUGAAAUGAGUCUUAUAGUAAGCUUUUGGGGGCAGGAACAAUCUCUUUUUUUCUGUGUGUGUAUAGUGCCCAGAACAAUGGGGUCCUAAUUCCUGAUUCUAUGCUUUUACAA